AUACUUGGCACAGAAACCGAGGUUCAGUCUCACCACCUCAGUUCCUGAAAUCGACCCUAGUAAAGGUUCUAGGCAGUAAGCACCAUCUCUUGAUGGCGCUAUACGGCUCCCGUUCCGAAACUAAAAUUUGACGUUUAUGUCUACCACCGUCUGAUAGAUGAUUGGACCGUGUUUUUUUGGUAAUUACUAAAAAAAAAAAACGAAAAUAUAAUCACAAAGUGCAUUUUAAGUUGCCUUGAUAAAUAAUACGUGUAUUUUAUUAUAGAAGACUGUGGUUUUUUGUCAAUUAAUGUAGUUUUUGCGAUGAAAUUUGCAACGAAGACAACUACGGUCGUAUAAUGUGUCGAAGCUGUAAUGGAUUCUUCAGAAAACCAGCAGAUGGUCGAGAAGGGCGACGACAACUAGGUUAAGGCGUCCUACAGCACCUAUGUAACUGUUUCGUGAUAGCAAAUAAGGUAAGAUUCGACUGCGUACUAUAGCAACUUAUUCUGAACUACAGUAUCUAUUAAAUAUGAAUGCUUAUCCAUUGUUCCGUUGAUUGUUUCCGUCCGACUUUCGUUUCUUUUUUGUGCUUUGUUCGCACCUAUUUUAUAUCUCAGUAUUAUUUUACGCGCUUUAUCAAAAUAUUAAGAGGAAUUAAAUUAAUUAAAGAAAUUAAAAAGCGUGACUGAAAAAUAUUAUUAUAAACUUUUUAAAAGUAACUGGUAUUCAUGAGUUAUCGACACUACAUGAAAUACUACGAUUGAAAAAUGUCCUAAAGUACGAAAUACUUACAGCAGUCACAUAGUUUCCAGCAACACAGUAGUUGAAUUUAAUUAUGAUUAGAAAACAUCAAACAUUUGUGGCUUAUUAAAUAAUAUGAGCGUAACGUACCUAAAUAUACCGCAAAAGGGACUACUUAACCAUAUAAGGAUUUAGGACUAAGGAACCGAAGUGCGAAAAAUUAAUACUCGCACAUACAUACACAGGUUAAAAAAAUAAUUCCUUGUUUGAUCUCCCGGUGUAACCAACGUAUUACAUAAAUUACAUAAGGGAAUUUUAAAUUUUUAAGAAGUAAUUCAGUGUUGAGCAACUCUAAAAGUGGGCGUCGGACUUAAUUGUACAACUUUCUUUACAUUUAUCGAAUGCAACAAAUAUUCAAGUAUUCAAAAAGUUGAUAAAAA